rnacentral:rRNA from 1 species
GUGGGGAAUAUUGGACAAUGGGCGCAAGCCUGAUCCAGCCAUGCCGCGUGAGUGAUGAAGGCCCUAGGGUUGUAAAGCUCUUUCACCGGUGAAGAUAAUGACGGUAACCGGAGAAGAAGCCCCGGCUAACUUCGUGCCAGCAGCCGCGGUAAUACGAAGGGGGCUAGCGUUGUUCGGAAUUACUGGGCGUAAAGCGCACGUAGGCGGACAUUUAAGUCAGGGGUGAAAUCCCGGGGCUCAACCCCGGAACUGCCUUUGAUACUGGGUGGCUGGAGUAUGGCAGAGGUAAGUGGAAUUCCGAGUGUAGAGGUGAAAUUCGUAGAUAUUCGGAGGAACACCAGUGGCGAAGGCGGCUUACUGGUCCAUUACUGACGCUGAGGUGCGAAAGCGUGGGGAGCAAACAGGAUUAGAAACCCCAGUAGUCC